UUGGGCAAUGGAGGAAACUCUGACCCAGCGACGCCGCGUGCGGGAUGAAGGCCUUCGGGUUGUAAACCGCUUUCAGCAGGGAAGAAGCGAAAGUGACGGUACCUGCAGAAGAAGCACCGGCUAACUAUGUGCCAGCAGCCGCGGUAAUACAUAGGGUGCAAGCGUUGUCCGGAAUUAUUGGGCGUAAAGAGCUCGUAGGUGGUUCGUCACGUCGGAUGUGAAACUCCGGGGCUUAACCCCAGACCUGCAUUCGAUACGGGCGAGCUUGAGUAUGGUAGGGGAGUCUGGAAUUCCUGGUGUAGCGGUGGAAUGCGCAGAUAUCAGGAGGAACACCAAUGGCGAAGGCAGGACUCUGGGCCAUUACUGACACUGAGGAGCGAAAGCGUGG
rnacentral:rRNA from 1 species